AUUCCCCUAGUAACUGCGAGUGAAGCGGGAAAAGCUCAAAUUUAAAAUCUGGCGGUUUUGCCGUCCGAGUUGUAAUCUGGAGAAGYGUUUUCCGCGUUGGACCGUGUACAAGUCUCUUGGAACAGAGCGUCAUAGAGGGUGAGAAUCCCGUCUUUGACACGGACUACCAAUGCUUUGUGAUACGCUCUCAAAGAGUCGAGUUGUUUGGGAAUGCAGCUCAAAAUGGGUGGUAAAUUCCAUCUAAAGCUAAAUAUUGGCGAGAGACCGAUAGCGAACAAGUACCGUGAGGGAAAGAUGAAAAGCACUUUGGAAAGAGAGUUAAACAGUACGUGAAAUUGUUGAAAGGGAAACGCUUGAAGUCAGUCGCGUUGUCCGGGACUCAGCCUUGCUUCUGCUUGGUGUACUUCCUGGUUGACGGGCCAACAUCGAUUUUGAUCGGCGGAUAAAGGUAGAGGGAAUGUGGCACCUUCGGGUGUGUUAUAGCCCUCUAUCGGAUGCGUCGGUUGGGAUCGAGGACCGCAGCACGCCUUUUUGGCCGGGGUUCGCCCACGUAACGUGCUUAGGAUGUUGGCAUAAUGGCUUUAAGCGACCCGUCUUGAAACACGGACCAAGGAGUCUAACAUGCCCGCGAGUGUUAGGGUGGUAAACCCUUGCGCGUAAUGAAAGUGAAAGUUGGGACCUCUGUCAUGGAGGGCACCGACGCCCGGCCUUGAACUUCUGUGACGGUGCCGCGGUAGAGCGUGUAUGUUGGGACCCGAAAGAUGGUGAACUAUGCCUGAAUAGGGCGAAGCCAGAGGAAACUCUGGUGGAGGCUCGUAGCGAUUCUGACGUGCAAAUCGAUCGUCAAAUUUGGGUAUAGGGGCGAAA
rnacentral:rRNA from 1 species